GACCGCUUCACAUAUGGGCUUGACGGGAAAAUUCAAAAUCGCGAACCGUUACAGCCUGGACGGUGUCUUUGUUUGCUUGCACAUCAACAGUAAGAGGUCAUGUACACUGUGGUCAACUUUGUGGACGCUGAAGAGGUUUCUGGGGAAAGAUGAUAGAAAUAUAAUGAAGUAACAGUGGAAGCUAAAACAUCAGACUGAUCCAGACACUGAAGAAAUUGAUGUCACUGCAAUCUGGCCAAAAUGAUACAACUAUAUUGAAGUAGCCUACUGUAAUGAAGCUGCAGAACGUCACAGAGACUCUGAGGACAUCAACACAGAAAAUCAAAUAAGAAGUUAUGAAGACAUUAUGAAGUUCUUUGAUCAUAUAUUGUUGUAUCUUUGUACAGUUAAAGUAAACUUUCUAAAAUGUACAACUUUAUGUCAUUUGAUUUGUCGUGUGUGUGUAACUGUAUAUGUGUAUAAGUAUUAUGCCAAAUACUUAUGUACUUUUAUAUUUCCAAAGGGGUCCAAAGAGAUGUCUGUCCAGAUGAGGGUGCAUCAACGUUACCUUUGCUGACAAGUAUAUGCUUUUAGCAGUUAACUUAACUCAAACCUUUUAAGGAAAUAGGUUGCCUUAAACCAUUAAGUUUUAAAAAACAUACAUUUGAGUACUUUGAACUUAAGUCUUGUGCAAUUAUGCACUUAUAUUUAGGUAGCGUGAACUUAAACAAAUUGAGUCACAUGCAGUUAAGCACUUAUAUUUAAGUUCACAGUACUCAAAUCUAUGUGUUUUAAAACUUGAAUGGUUUAAUGCAACCGGUUUUCUUAAAUGUGAGAAAUUACAGUGUUACAGUGAGAAAUGUUUGAAUAAUUCCAAGACAGAGCUCUGUGAUUAAUUCUACACUGCAAAAAAUCACUUUCUAACACUUUUUAUCUUGUUUUCAGUAGAAAAACUAAAAAUUCUUAAAUCAAGAUGUAUUUUCUUGAUGAGCAAAAUUACCUUAGAAAAUAUGUCUAGUUUUUAGACAAAAAUAUACAAUUUAAGAUAAUUUGUGCCUAAACAAGCAAAAAUAUCUAACAUUGGGGUGAGAAAAUUGUGUUUUAAUUAAGUUUUUAAGAUAAAAGAAAACUUAAGAUUUUUUUUCUCACACUAUUGGAAGAUAUUUUGCUUGUUUUAAGCACAAUUUCACUUAAUGUAUGUGUGUGUAUUUUAUUUAUUUAUUUAUUUUGUCUAAAACUAGACUUAUUUUCUUGGGUCAUUUUGUUCCUCAAGAACAAGCAUUUUAAUUUAAAUAAUAUUUGUACUGAAA